rnacentral:rRNA from 1 species
GACGAACGCUGGCGGCGUGCUUAACACAUGCAAGUCGAACGGAAAGGUCCUGCUUUUGCUGGGUUCUCGAGUGGCGAACGGGUGAGUAACACGUGAGUAACCUGCCCUUGACUUUGGGAUAACUUCAGGAAACUGGGGCUAUUACCGGAUAGAAGCUCCUGCUGCGUGUUGGGGGUUGGAAAGUUUCGGCUGUUGGGGAUGGACUGGCGGCUUAUCAGCUUGUUGGUGUGGUAGUGGCUUACCAAGGCUUUGACGGGUAGCCGGCCUGGGAGGGUGACCGGCGACAUUGGGACUGAGAUACGGAGCAGUCUGCUACGGGAGGCAGCAGUGGGGAAUAUUGCACAAUGGGCGGAAGCCUGAUGCAGCAGCGCCGCGUGCGGGAUGACGGCCUUCGGGUUGUAAACCGAUUUCGACUGUGACGAAGCGUGAGUGACGGUAAUGGGUAAAGAAGCAACGGCUAACUACGUG